rnacentral:lncRNA from 1 species
GCUUGAGGAGAGGCAAGCUCAAUUAAGCAGUGUGUGUGCAAUUUCAGGGAAAUGGGGUCUGCUUCUUAGAAUCUACAAGAAUGCAAGGCCUCUUGAGCAAAAGUAUGGGGGUGUUUCUUUUUUUAAUGGAUCACCUGGUGGGGCCUCAACACCCCUAUUCUUCUUUCCCAAGGUGGAAGAGCUGCUAACUGCAGAAAUGACGUCAGUCCCAGCUUGUAAUGGUGCUGACUGGGGAUGGGCAUGAUCAAAUGUUGCUCCGGGUGAUGUUUGGCUCUCUCUGGCCACCUUUCAUCUGGAGCAUCUCAUAACACUUUACAGGAGAUAGUUAAUUAUACUUCCUGAGGCUUUGGGCAGGAACAUGCAUCACAGACUGCACUUACGUCUGUGACUAUGUCAGAAGAAAUGCUCAAGGACUAAUUACUUUGCAUUUGUAUGUAUCAUCUCCUUUCACAUGGGAUCUCAAAGCAAUUUCCCAAGGUCAAGCAAUGAGAAGGGAUACCAAGCUGAGCUUAGUCUCCAGAGGCUUCUACAGGAUCACAUGUCUCUUCAGAAAUGCCAUUUUAACUGAUGUAAGUGUGAAGGAGUUAGAACCCCAGGGAUUAAAUUUCUGCUGAAAUACACAUGUUUCUUGGGGGAAAAAAUGAGCUCUUGACCCAGGGAAUGCAAAGCCUUUUGGAAAACUCUUCUAAGCCUGAUAUGGAGGGUAUCAGAUGCCACUGGCCUUUCAGAGCCCCCUCCAUAUUGUAGGCUAGCAUGAGAUCACACCUGGCCGUGCUGGCCUCGGGGCCGGGGCUAGGGGGUGGAGGGGGGUUGGGGGGGACACCUGUCUUAGCUUGUCUCACAUAUACACACACACAUUCUUAGGCCUGGGAACUUUUUCCCCCACAAAGACAUAUUUUAUGACUACAUUUGUAUUUUUAUGACAAAACAAUCCCACAUUCGUCUGAGAGGAAGUGAGGUCUGAGUAGUCUGAGAGACUGGACACCUGGCCUCUGCCAAGCCAGCCCUGCCUCAGCUCCACUCACCUACGAGGGGAAGUGCUGCUGGGCGGGGGAGACUUCUCCUCUGAGAGUGGGUCUGAGCCUGAGUGUUCGCCCCACUGGUCGGCCUUCCCGUGAGCAAGUCAGCUACAGUUGGUCACAUCAUAUUGGACUCUCAUUCCCAUCCCCAGGCAACCACAUGAUCCGUUGUCACUAUGCAGGAGUUUGCAUUUUCAAGAAUUGUAUGUAAAUAGAGUCCUACAGUAUCGAUUCUUUUUUGUUGUUGUUGUUCUGGAUUUUUGCCUUCAGUAUAAUAAUUUUGAGAUUUAUUCAUGUUGAGUGUAUCAAUAGUCCACUUCUUGUUGCAGCGCUGAACUCCAGGGUAUGAGUAGAGUACAAUGUGCUUGUUCGGUCACCUGGACACGGAUGGAUAUUUUGGUCGCUUCCAGUUUGGGUCUAAAACAAAUAAAGCUGUUAUGAAUAUUUGUGUACA